rnacentral:rRNA from 1 species
GAUGAACGCUGGCGGCGUGCCUAAUACAUGCAAGUCGAGCGAACAGAUGAGGAGCUUGCUCCUCUGACGUUAGCGGCGGACGGGUGAGUAACACGUGGAUAACCUACCUAUAAGACUGGGAUAACUUCGGGACACCGGAGCUAAUACCGGAUAAUAUAUUGAACCGCAUGGUUCAAUAGUGAAAGACGGUUUUGCUGUCACUUAUAGAUGGAUCCGCGCCGCAUUAGCUAGUUGGUAAGGUAACGGCUUACCAAGGCAACGAUGCGUAGCCGACCUGAGAGGGUGAUCGGCCACCCUGGAACUGAGACACGGUCCAGACUCCUACGGGAGGCAGCAGUAGGGAAUCUUCCGCAAUGGGCGAAAGCCUGACGGAGCAACGCCGCGUGAGUGAUGAAGGUCUUCGGAUCGUAAAACUCUGUUAUUAGGGAAGAACAAAUGUGUAAGUAACUAUGCACGUCUUGACGGUACCUAAUCAGAAAGCCACGGCUAACUACGUG